rnacentral:rRNA from 1 species
GUCAUCCUACGGGGGGCAGCAGUGGGGAAUAUUGGGCAAUGGGCGCAAGCCUGACCCAGCAACGCCGCGUGAAGGAAGAAGGCUUUCGGGUUGUAAACUUCUUUUAAGAGGGAAGAGAAGAAGACGGUACCUCUUGAAUAAGCCACGGCUAACUACGUGCCAGCAGCCGCGGUAAUACGUAGGUGGCAAGCGUUAUCCGGAUUUACUGGGUGUAAAGGGCGUGUAGGCGGGACUGCAAGUCAGAUGUGAAAAUUAUGGGCUCAACCCAUAACCUGCAUUUGAAACUGUAGUUCUUGAGGGAUGGG